rnacentral:lncRNA from 1 species
CCUCACAAACACCCCAGGUAUUUUUCUCCUGUGGAACUCCAGAUCUCAUCAGGUUGACAGUAUGAUCCAUCACAGGCUGGUUAUAAUAAUCACUUCACAAUGAUACUAGGAACAAAUGUCUCAUUAUAUACCUUAUAUACCUACAUUGUUCAUUUCUCAACUAUUCUUCAGUAAAGCUGCUCAACAAUAGUCUGUGAAGUCACAGAUUUGGAGGUAGGGGAUGACAGGUGGUCAGCCAUGAUGGGUACUGCACCAAUCACAAGCCCAGAGCACUUUUACAGAAGUUUCAAGCCCUGCUUUCAGUCUUGUGAUCCUUCUGGAACCGCCCAUGUGGAUACUGUAGCUUUCUCCAGGGACGGAUUACUUGUUCACGGGAUACUGUCUUACAGAGAGAAGGUAACUGCAGGCUUACUUACUCUCUGUAGUUGGAAUGGGCAACAAGUUACCUAUUUAGAGCCCUGCUUCCUCAACUGUGGAUCACAAUCAUAUGUGAGGGGUGUCAUGAAAAAUCUGACAACAGUACCUGAGUGCUUCUGGCAGAGUUCCCCCACGUUGCAUCCUGUGACGCCUCAAUGACCUUUGUAAAGAACCCAACUCAGGCAUUUGCGCCAUGGUUGCCUUAAAACCAUGCAACACAGACAAACUCUACCCAAACACCUGGGUUCAGGCUCCAUGUUAUCGUAUGUUAUGAAUGUUUUUAUUGAAAUAUAUGCAAAGUUUUCUCUUUGUACUGAGGCAUGAUGGUUCAGUUACAGAAAGCUGAGGCAUCCCAUAGCUCUCUACAAUUAUCCCCAAGUGAGACUCAAAUUAGAACAACCUGGGACUGCGUUGUGUUGAAGUUUUGACUUUAAGAGGUGCUAACUUGAGUCACAUGAAAAUACUUUUCAGGGUAGUUUGGCUUGGGGUUAAUAUGAAAUUUCCAACAAUCUCGGAAAUGGCUCUCACCACACUCGUGCUGUCUUGUACUACAUAAUUACAUGGUGUACCACUGUCAGCACUGACAGUUAUUGAAUCAAGAUAUCAGUUAGUGUAGUUCUUUAUGGAAAAAUAGAUAUGCACAUUACCUCAUUGGUGUACAAAUUGGCUUUCUUCUUUAAUCAAUAGUAGAACCAACCAUGUUUCCCCAAAGGAGUGUUGUAAACUACAUCUCUUUAUUAUUUGUUAUAACCCAUGGUUUAAUUUGGUGGGUGGCUGUUUGUUUGACACAGGAUCUCAUGUAGCCCAGGCUGAUCUCCAACUUGAUAGGUAUCUAAGGCUGGUAUUGAACAUCUGAUCCUUCUACUUCUACCUCCCAAGUACUGGAAUUGAUUCUAGGCAUGCAUCACUGUGCCCAGCUAAAUGUUUGACCUGCAUACCUAUUUUAUACACCUAUAUACAAGAGUGGCUAUAAAAUAUGUCUCGGGUAAAUGGGAGUUGGGUUACGAGUGCAAAAGUCUUGAGUCUUAGAGCUCCUGACAGGCAACCAUGAAAUGCACAACCUGCCUUUCAGAACAACUAGCUCCCUUGGUCCUUUCCUGAUCUCUAUCAUUGGCUGAUGCUCACAGACACAGCUCUGUGAUUUCGUGAGCUCUUCCAACAAGUUGGUUAAUUUAAGACAAGCACUUGGUGCUUCUCCUGUUUGGCCUCCCCAGCUUCUGUUUUUCAGCUCAAGUUCCACUUGGCUUUGGCAUGGACUUGGUAUUGGCCACGGAAUGUGAAUAGCACUGGUGCAGGGACAACUCACAACAGGUUGAGCCUGGAGAUUUUUCUGCGCCCAUCCCCCCAAGGCUUCUUGGCCCAGUCUGGCAUUGCCCAUCGGACAUGGAGUACAGCUGGAAUGACCGGGACACCUGUUGAAGCUGUGCAUAAUGCUCAAUUCAAGUCUCCCGUGAGUCACACAGCACAUGCUCCUGACUGAGCUGCCUUUGUGUGUGUGUCACAGGAUGGCAUGCUGUGUCUGACCCUUCCAGCAUGAGCUGGUACAUUCCACUGCAAUCAGUAAGGUUUUUUUUUUUUUUUUUUUUUUGGAUUUUUCAAACUCGGGGACCUGCCAAAGAAAAGUUGGAGACAAAGAAAUUCAUCUGUAAUGAAGGACUCUCAAUACUGUGAAGAGGUGGUUGACAAGCUGCAAAUGUAGAAGCCAGUGACAUAGACAUCCUUGAACAAAUGUGUGACAUCUCUGUGAUAAGUUGCCCGUCUACAGGUACAGAGAAACUCUGAAGGAGAAGCAUUCUGUGAAGAAGGUGUCGCCAGAGUUCUGGGACCUCUUCAGAAUCACGUCGUCCAUAACAAUGCCACCCAAGCUCAGUAGCCUGCUCCUUCACCCCUGCCCUAUGGCUGAUGGGUAAACACAGAUUCUAGAUCCUUGCGAGUAUUCUAGAUCACAACAUCACAAGGGCAGAAACCCAUACUGAGACAUCCCGGUGUUUACCACAUAAAGCGUGUGAGGCUUCUAGCAGGAGGCAAGUGCCCAGUCCCUAUGCUGUUGAAAUCGGAGAAUCUGCUGAGAUUAACCAUUUCCACUCUGGGAAACUAAUGGAGAAGGAUGGAACACAGGUGAACUGCAAUCCCUAGGCUUGAAAGAGGCAAAUGGGAAAGAGUGUUAUCCUGGAGUCUGUUGGGAGAGAAUGAAUAAAAGAGGGAGUGAAAGGAGAGCCUGGUUCUGG